rnacentral:rRNA from 1 species
GAUGAACGCUGGCGGCGUGCCUAAUACAUGCAAGUCGAGCGAACAGACGAGGAGCUUGCUCCUCUGACGUUAGCGGCGGACGGGUGAGUAACACGUGGAUAACCUACCUAUAAGACUGGGAUAACUUCGGGAAACCGGAGCUAAUACCGGAUAAUAUAUUGAACCGCAUGGUUCAAUAGUGAAAGACGGUUUUGCUGUCACUUAUAGAUGGAUCCGCGCCGCAUUAGCUAGUUGGUAAGGUAACGGCUUACCAAGGCGACGAUGCGUAGCCGGCCUGCGAGGGUGAUCGGCCACAUGGGAACUGAGACACGGUCCAGACUCCGACGGGAGGCAGCAGUAGGGAAUCUUCCGCAAUGGGCGAAAGCCUGACGGAGCAACGCCGCGUGAGUGAUGAAGGUCUUCGGAUCGUAAAACUCUGUUAUUAGGGAAGAACAAAUGUGUAAGUAACUAUGCACGUCUUGACGGUACCUAAUCAGAAAGCCACGGCUAACUACGUG